UUUAGUUUAGUUUAAAUAAAAACAAAAGCUUGUCAAGCUUUAAAUACAAAGCAAAUUAUAUUUGUAGCUAAGU
rnacentral:tRNA from 1 species